rnacentral:lncRNA from 1 species
UGAAAAUGAUGGACUUCCUGUUGGAGUUAGGUCAGAGGUGUCAGUACAUGAUUAGGUCUUGAUGAGAUGAUCAAAUGAGCGUUCAAAUGAGUGCAUCUAGGUGGCGCUACAGCGCACAAUUUUGGCAGUGAAGGGUUAAUUAUUUCAUUUUCACCAAAUUUGUUGCUGGUCAUGAUGUGCAUGACAUAUUUGGUGAGUUUCGGAUGUGGUUUAGGGAAUCAAAUUUGAAGUCAAAAACGAUUCAGUAAAAUAAUAAUAAACACUACAAAUACAAUAGGGGCCUCGCUGCAGGCCGGCCUCCGUGUGUCACCAAGACCUGCCUUUUGCUCGAGCCCUAAAAAAUACAAAUACAGAGAAACAAAGAAACAGAAAAGAGAAUUAAAUCAAAAGACAAAAAGAAUGAAAAAGGAAAGUUGAACUGUUUGUGUGCAGACCCUGAGUGUGUGAGCUGUGUUUCAGGUUUUGGGCUCCAUUUUGUUCGGAUUUUCUCUGAUCCGUUUGUGGCUCACCACCUUCGCCAUCCUCGGCCUCGCGGUUCUCGGCAUGUACGGCAGCAUCACCGAGAAGAAGACCCCGCUCAUCGUGUUCUGUGUCUUGAUGUGGAUCAUUACCGUCAUCCUGGUGAGCUACGGCACCCAUAUCGUUGUGAACGUCUCCCAGGUCAUAUCUAAUGCACCUGAAACCAGCCAGGUUUUCCACAAGCCCCUGAGCAUUGCAGCAGGACUCAUCUUUGGACUUGUUCCCUUCACGUUUGUGGGGGGGCUCUUGUCCAUGCUCAUGGUGAGGCAGAUCAAACAAAGCAGCCAUGUUCAGACUUCGAUCCCGCCAAUGGAUUCCCCUCCACUCUUGACCAGUGAAUGCUGAGACGAGAAACCUCUGCUACAUUGUACCAACUCAAUGCUCAUUUACUGUUUCUGUAACAAAUGUCACAAUUUAAUAAAAUGGAUACUUUUUUAUUUCAAUGAAAACACAUUUAUGCCUUCGAUGCUUGUCUUGAAAUGACUCCAAAGAUAAAAUGAAAUGACUCCACUCAGACCUUAAAAUGAACAUUUUUGGUUGUUUUUGAAAGUUUUUGACCAUGUUAAGAAAACAUCUUCACGUUUUAAAAUCAAUGGGUUCAAUGAUCUAAAUUUAGAAACUAGUUCUGAAGUUCAACAUCUUCCACAGCCUGCGGUGCGGGGUCGUGACACGGGGCCAGCAGCAGCGCCAGGUCGGCCAGGUCCCCGUUAGUGGCUGCUCAGUUUGGGGCACGUCAUUUCAGAAUGGACAGUACUUCUACACACGGUCCCCAGUCUGAAACACCUGUCCCCGGCUCUGUGAAGCCUCCUCCUGCUUAUCGGUGUGCGCCUGACGAGUGAAGUCCCUGGUGGGAUGCACCAGCGGCUGGUGCAGUGGUGCUCUGGAGCACCGGGACAAACCUUCAUGAGUGGUGUAGUCUUCACAGCAGAGGACGUCUACCUCCACAUCACCACGAGAGCCAGGGCCCUUGUCAGCUGUGUCGUGCACAGACGAGUCAGACCCUCAGUGGAGCUAUUGUGGGCAACUGGUUCUGCUCCUCCUUCCUUCCCCUGCAUUGCGGCUUCAGGGUCUCAUCUCCAAGCAUGAGUGUUGCUCAUGAAGCAUUGAUGCAUCCUCCUCAGUGCGACAUCAGGUCCAGCCCGAUGACGCACAGCUCUUCAAUGUCAGCAAGCC